AGUGAACGCUGGCGGUAGGCCUAACACAUGCAAGUCGAACGGCAGCACAGUAAGAGCUUGCUCUUACGGGUGGCGAGUGGCGGACGGGUGAGGAAUACAUCGGAAUCUACUUUUUCGUGGGGGAUAACGUAGGGAAACUUACGCUAAUACCGCAUACGACCUACGGGUGAAAGCAGGGGAUCUUCGGACCUUGCGCGAUUGAAUGAGCCGAUGUCGGACUAGCUAGUUGGCGGGGUAAAGGCCCACCAAGGCUACGAUCCGUAGCUCGUCUGAGAGGAUGAUCAGCCACACUGGAACUGAGACACGGUCCAGACUCCUACGUGAGGCAGCAGUGGGGAAUAUUGGACAAUGGGCGCAAGCCUGAUCCAGCCAUACCGCGUGGGUGAAGAAGGCCUUCGGGUUGUAAAGCCCUUUUGUUGGGAAAGAAAAGCAGCAGGUUAAUACCCCGCUGUUCUGACGUUACCCAAAGAAUAAGCACCGGCUAACUUCGUG
rnacentral:rRNA from 1 species